UGGAGAUUCAGAAGCUGCGUUUGUACUGUGACCCUCAUCAGAGUGAGAGAGAAACAGCCUGUGAGAUUUACUCUGUGGAUGAUGAAAGGUGUCCUUUGAAUCGAACAGAAACAGCGGAGGAAGAGGAUUGCAACUGUGUAGUCGGGCCACCAGGGGAGCGUGGCCUGCCAGGACGCAUGG